UAAGGGAUAUUGGUCAAUGGGCGCAAGCCUGAACCAGCAACGCCGCGUGCAGGAUGACGGCCUUCGGGUUGUAAACUGCUUUUGUCGGGGACGAGAGAGGACGGUACCCGGCGAAUAAGUCACGGCUAACUACGUGCCAGCAGCCGCGGUAACGCGUAGGUGGCGAGCGUUAUCCGGAUUUACUGGGCGUAAAGCGUGUGCAGACUGACUAGCAAGUGGUGUAUGAAAUCGCGGUGCUUAACACAGCGAGGUUAUGCCAGACUGCUGGACUAGAGUCCCGGAGAGGAAGGCAGAAUUCCCAAUGUAGGGGUGAAAUCCGUAGAUAUUGGGAGGAAUACCGGUGGCGAAGGCGGCCUUCUGGACGGUGACUGACACUCAGACGCGAAAGCGUGGGGAGCAAACAGGAUUAGAUACCCCGGUAGUCCCUGAGCGGGCUGGCAAGGCGCAU
rnacentral:rRNA from 1 species